AUGAGCUUGGAUUUUCAAAGGCUGCUUUCUACACCAAGAGAAUGGAGAAUCAAGAUGCAAUAUAAGACAUAAAAAGGACUGAAGUGCUGAUAUAUGCUACAUGUGGAUGAACCCUGAAGACAUUGUGCUAAGUAAAAUAAGCCAGACACGAAAGUUCAAAUACUGUAUGAUUCCACUUCUAUGAGGUACCUAGAAAGGGCAGAAUCAGAGACACAAGGUGUAACAAUCAUGGAGAGAAAGCAAACUGGAAUCUGAGAAAGGUGCUGGAUUUGAAGAUUUAGA
rnacentral:lncRNA from 10 species